rnacentral:rRNA from 1 species
GGGUUGUGAGGUUAAGCGACUAAGCGUACACGGUGGAUGCCCUGGCAGUCAGAGGCGAUGAAGGACGUGCUAAUCUGCGAUAAGCGCCGGUAAGGUGAUAUGAACCGUUAUAACCGGCGAUUUCCGAAUGGGGAAACCCAGUGUGAUUCGUCACACUAUCAUUAACUGAAUCCAUAGGUUAAUGAGGCGAACCGGGGGAACUGAAACAUCUAAGUACCCCGAGGAAAAGAAAUCAACCGAGAUUCCCCCAGUAGCGGCGAGCGAACGGGGAGGAGCCCAGAGCCUGAAUCAGCAUGUGUGUUAGUGGAAGCGUCUGGAAAGGUGCGCGAUACAGGGUGACAGCCCCGUACACAAAAGCGCAUGUGCUGUGAGCUCGAUGAGUAGGGCGGGACACGUGGUAUCCUGUCUGAAUAUGGGGGGACCAUCCUCCAAGGCUAAAUACUCCUGACUGACCGAUAGUGAACCAGUACCGUGAGGGAAAGGCGAAAAGAACCCCGGCGAGGGGAGUGAAAAGAACCUGAAACCGUGUACGUACAAGCAGUGGGAGCACAGGUUUACCUGUGUGACUGCGUACCUUUGUAUAAUGGGUCAGCGACUUAUAUUCUGUAGCAAGGUUAACCGUAUAGGGGAGCCGUAGGGAAACCGAGUCUUAACCGGGCGUUAAGUUGCAGGGUAUAGACCCGAAACCCGGUGAUCUAGCCAUGGGCAGGUUGAAGGUUGGGUAACACUAACUGGAGGACCGAACCGACUAAUGUUGAAAAAUUAGCGGAUGACCUGUGGCUGGGGGUGAAAGGCCAAUCAAACCGGGAGAUAGCUGGUUCUCCCCGAAAGCUAUUUAGGUAGCGCCUCGUGAAUUCAUCUCCGGGGGUAGAGCACUGUUUCGGCUAGGGGGCCAUCCCGGCUUACCAACCCGAUGCAAACUGCGAAUACCGGAGAAUGUUAUCACGGGAGACACACGGCGGGUGCUAACGUCCGUCGUGAAGAGGGAAACAACCCAGACCGCCAGCUAAGGUCCCAAAGUCAUGGUUAAGUGGGAAACGAUGUGGGAAGGCCCAGACAGCCAGGAUGUUGGCUUAGAAGCAGCCAUCAUUUAAAGAAAGCGUAAUAGCUCACUGGUCGAGUCGGCCUGCGCGGAAGAUGUAACGGGGCUAAACCAUGCACCGAAGCUGCGGCAGCGAACGUAUCACUUAAAGCGAUUCAGCGGGUUACGAUUGACGGAGCGAAGCGACGUCAAAGCGUAUACAAAGUCGAGUCGGUUUAAGGAUACGUUCGUUGGGUAGGAGCGUUCUGUAAGCCCGUGAAGGUGGCCUGUGAGGGUUGCUGGAGGUAUCAGAAGUGCGAAUGCUGACAUAAGUAACGAUAAAGCGGGUGAAAAGCCCGCUCGCCGGAAGACCAAGGGUUCCUGUCCAACGUUAAUCGGGGCAGGGUGAGUCGACCCUAAGGCGAGGCCGAAAGGCGUAGUCGAUGGGAAACGGGUUAAUAUUCCCGUACUUGGUGUUACUGCGAAGGGGGGACGGAGAAGGCUAUGUUGGCCGGGCGACGGUUGUCCCGGUUUAAGCGUGUAGGUGUGUGUUCCAGGUAAAUCCGGUUCACUUUAACACUGAGGCGUGACGACGAGGCACUACGGUGCUGAAGCAACAAAUGCCCUGCUUCCAGGAAAAGCCUCUAAGCAUCAGGUAACAUCAAAUCGUACCCCAAACCGACACAGGUGGUCAGGUAGAGAAUACCAAGGCGCUUGAGAGAACUCGGGUGAAGGAACUAGGCAAAAUGGUGCCGUAACUUCGGGAGAAGGCACGCUGACACGUAGGUGAAGUGAUUUACUCAUGGAGCUGAAGUCAGUCGAAGAUACCAGCUGGCUGCAACUGUUUAUUAAAAACACAGCACUGUGCAAACACGAAAGUGGACGUAUACGGUGUGACGCCUGCCCGGUGCCGGAAGGUUAAUUGAUGGGGUCAGCGCAAGCGAAGCUCCUGAUCGAAGCCCCGGUAAACGGCGGCCGUAACUAUAACGGUCCUAAGGUAGCGAAAUUCCUUGUCGGGUAAGUUCCGACCUGCACGAAUGGCGUAAUGAUGGCCAGGCUGUCUCCACCCGAGACUCAGUGAAAUUGAACUCGCUGUGAAGAUGCAGUGUACCCGCGGCAAGACGGAAAGACCCCGUGAACCUUUACUAUAGCUUGACACUGAACAUUGAGCCUUGAUGUGUAGGAUAGGUGGGAGGCUUUGAAGUGUGGACGCCAGUCUGCAUGGAGCCGACCUUGAAAUACCACCCUUUAAUGUUUGAUGUUCUAACGUGGACCCGUAAUCCGGGUUGCGGACAGUGUCUGGUGGGUAGUUUGACUGGGGCGGUCUCCUCCUAAAGAGUAACGGAGGAGCACGAAGGUUGGCUAAUCCUGGUCGGACAUCAGGAGGUUAGUGCAAUGGCAUAAGCCAGCUUGACUGCGAGCGUGACGGCGCGAGCAGGUGCGAAAGCAGGUCAUAGUGAUCCGGUGGUUCUGAAUGGAAGGGCCAUCGCUCAACGGAUAAAAGGUACUCCGGGGAUAACAGGCUGAUACCGCCCAAGAGUUCAUAUCGACGGCGGUGUUUGGCACCUCGAUGUCGGCUCAUCACAUCCCGGGCUGAAGUAGGUCCCAAGGGUAUGGCUGUUCGCCAUUUAAAGUGGUACGCGAGCUGGGUUUAGAACGUCGUGAGACAGUUCGGUCCCUAUCUGCCGUGGGCGCUGGAGAACUGAGGGGGGCUGCUCCUAGUACGAGAGGACCGGAGUGGACGCAUCACUGGUGUUCGGGUUGUCAUGCCAAUGGCACUGCCCGGUAGCUAAAUGCGGAAGAGAUAAGUGCUGAAAGCAUCUAAGCACGAAACUUGCCCCGAGAUGAGUUCUCCCUGAGACUUAGAGUCUCCUGAAGGAACGUUGAAGACGACGACGUUGAUAGGCCGGGUGUGUAAGCGCAGCGAUGCGUUGAGCUAACCGGUACUAAUGAACCGUGAGGCUUAACCUUACAACGCCGAAG